GCGUCCCUCAUAAGUCAGGAGCCUCCGUCCUUUGUUAGUCUUGUAUGCUUUUUAAUUCUAGUUCAUUCUCAGUCUUUUGGAGUUUAGUAUGACGUCCAUUUUUACUGAACUAGAGUAUAGUACAUUUGGUUUAGGUGCCAAAUGAAGCCUACCUCCGUGUUCGGGAUCUUUUCGCUAUGCUGAAGACCUUUUGGUGACCUUCGGCUGUUUUAUGCUCUUUGGUUGUACGCUGUCGUUUUGAUUCAUUGCCCAUUACCAUUUUUAGCUCACCUGGCCUAAAAGGCCAUGUGAGCUUUUCUCAUCACUUGGCGUCCGUCGUCGUCGUCGUCGUCUGUCGUCGUUAACAAUUUUUCAAACAUCUUCUCCUCUGAAACUACUGAAUGGAUUUGAAUGAAACUUAAAAUGACUGUUCCUUAGAUUAUCCUGCACAAAGUGUGUGCUUCGAUUUUUGAUCCGUCAAAAAACAUGGCCGCCGUUACUUAAAAUAGAACAUAGGGGUCAAAUGCAGUUUUUGGCUUAUAUCUCAAAAACGGAAGCAUUUAGAGCAAAUCUGACGGGGUAAAAAUGUUCAUUAGGUCAAGAUCUAUCAGCCCAGAAAUUUUCAGAUGAAUCAAACAAACCAUUGUUGGGUUGCUGCCACUUAAUUGGUAAUUUUAAGGAAAUUUUGCAGUUUUUGGUCAUUAUCU
rnacentral:lncRNA from 1 species